rfam:Ciona savignyi cont_243, whole genome shotgun sequence.
GGGGAUAUAGCUCAGUGGUAGAGCUUUCGACUGCAGAUCGAGAGGACCCUGGUUCAAAUCCUGGUGUCCCCU